ensembl:lncRNA
AGAUGGAGAGACAGAGAGACAAACAGACAGAUAGACAGACAGACAGACACCAUGUCUCCCUCCCAGUCCUCCCUACUUCUGCUACUGCUGAUGGUCUCCUGCUCCUGGGCCUCACACUUUUUAGGAGGAACCAUGACCUUCAACCCCAGAGGGACCAACCCAGACGGAACCUACAGGGUGGACCUCCGUUACAAGACAGCCUUCCACUCUACCGUCUGCCUAACUGAUACCUGGUCGUGUAUCAGUGGGGACUGUGGGAAUGAGAUCAGUUUAGUGGUUAACACAGUGGACCAGGGGAUAUCUGAGGACUGGUGUCAGACAGAGGGAGUCAUGACUAGACACGUCUCCAAUAACACACAGACUUUUGAUCUGCUAUUGGAUGGCGGAAACUGGAUAAACAAUGUUAAUUCUGUUAGUGCUUGGAGGCUGUGGACUCAUGUGGAUCUUGGGGUCAGGUCUGACACGAAGACAAUCAACCGAUCUCCACAGACCACUGUCGUACCUCUGAUGCGUGUCCCUGCUAAUUGUCCAAGAGAUUUCAACCUGUUGUCGUUUGAUCCAGACGGGGAUGAGGUCAGAUGCAGAUAUGCAGUACCAACGGACGAGUGUGUCACAUCAAGUGACCUUCCUAAUGACUUCACUCUACAAGAGGUAACAGCAGGCUUCCAUUCUGAUAGGAGAACCAGGUAGCAGCAGGCUUCCAUUCUGAUUGGAUGACCAGGUAACAGCAGGCUUCCAUUCUGAUUGGAUGACCAGGUAACAGCAGGCUUCCAUUCUGAUUGGAUGACCAGGUAACAGCAGGCUUCCAUUCUG